rnacentral:rRNA from 1 species
UACGUAGGUGGCAAGCGUUGUCCGGAUUUACUGGGCGUAAAGGGCUCGUAGGCGGUCCGUCACGUCGGGAGUGAAAACUCGGGGCUCAACCCCGAGCCUGCUUUCGAUACGGGCGGACUAGAGGUAGGUAGGGGAGAACGGAAUUCCUGGUGUAGCGGUGGAAUGCGCAGAUAUCAGGAGGAACACCGGUGGCGAAGGCGGUUCUCUGGGCCUUACCUGACGCUGAGGAGCGAAAGCGUGGGGAGCGAACAGG